rnacentral:rRNA from 1 species
GGCGGCGUGCUUAACACAUGCAAGUCGAGCGGUAAGGCCUUUCGGGGUACACGAGCGGCGAACGGGUGAGUAACACGUGGGUGAUCUGCCCUGCACUCUGGGAUAAGCUUGGGAAACUGGGUCUAAUACCGGAUAUGACCACAGCAUGCAUGUGUUGUGGUGGAAAGAUUUAUCGGUGCAGGAUGGGCCCGCGGCCUAUCAGCUUGUUGGUGGGGUAAUGGCCUACCAAGGCGACGACGGGUAGCCGACCUGAGAGGGUGACCGGCCACACUGGGACUGAGACACGGCCCAGACUCCUACGGGAGGCAGCAGUGGGGAAUAUUGCACAAUGGGCGGAAGCCUGAUGCAGCGACGCCGCGUGAGGGAUGAAGGCCUUCGGGUUGUAAACCUCUUUCAGCAGGGACGAAGCGUGAGUGACGGUACCUGCAGAAGAAGCACCGGCUAACUACGUGCCAGCAGCCGCGGUAAUACGUAGGGUGCGAGCGUUGUCCGGAAUUACUGGGCGUAAAGAGUUCGUAGGCGGUUUGUCGCGUCGUUUGUGAAAACCCGGGGCUCAACUUCGGGCUUGCAGGCGAUACGGGCAGACUUGAGUGUUUCAGGGGAGACUGGAAUUCCUGGUGUAGCGGUGAAAUGCGCAGAUAUCAGGAGGAACACCGGUGGCGAAGGCGGGUCUCUGGGAAACAACUGAC